GAUGAACGCUGGCGGCGUGCCUAAUACAUGCAAGUCGAGCGAACGGACGAGAAGCUUGCUUCUCUGAUGUUAGCGGCGGACGGGUGAGUAACACGUGGAUAACCUACCUAUAAGACUGGGAUAACUUCGGGAAACCGGAGCUAAUACCGGAUAAUAUUUUGAACCGCAUGGUUCAAAAGUGAAAGACGGUCUUGCUGUCACUUAUAGAUGGAUCCGCGCUGCAUUAGCUAGUUGGUAAGGUAACGGCUUACCAAGGCAACGAUGCAUAGCCGACCUGAGAGGGGGAUCGGACAAACUGGAACGGAGACACGGUCAAGACUCCUACGGGAGGCAGAAGUAGGGAAUCUUCCGCAAUGGGCGAAAGCCUGACGGAGAAACGCCGCGUGAGUGAUGAAGGUCUUCGGAUCGUAAAACUCUGUUAUUAGGGAAGAACAUAUGUGUAAGUAACUGUGCACAUCGUGACGGUACCUAAUCAGAAAGCCACGGCUAACUGCGUG
rnacentral:rRNA from 1 species